rnacentral:misc_RNA from 1 species
GGAAAAUCUAAACAAACAAAUUGAAUAAGUUUUGACUGACCUUUCAAGUGAAAAAAGUUACAACAUAACAGGCAUGAUUGCUAAAGAUAAAUGAUGAACAGUGGCAGCAUGACAAAUCUUGUUCUAUGAAGGCUUAGGCUAAAUCACCACCACUCUGUUGCCACAAAUUGAUGAUAUCCGUGGCCUGAUUAAGAAGAAUAAUUGCCUGUUUCUGGGAUAUCCAUGGUUUACUCUCGAGCAUGACUUUAAGUUCCUCCCAAGCAUCUUUUCUAGGCCAAAAAUAGUAGGGGCUCAACGGAAUCGUGCCAUGACCAGGAAUUACCUGGUCUAGUGAAAUUCCGAUGUUCUUCUCCAUCCAAAUAAACUUCAACACUAGCCUAGGUUUCUCCAGUGGCUUGACCAACACACCGAGCUUCUCUUUUUGAAGAGAAUCUGAGGAAAUAGAAUCACGGGUCGAUGUUUCUUCAGCAAAACUCAAGGCAGCCGCAGCUGAAGUAGCAAAACCCCCAAGAUUUCUUCUGGGUACGAUUGCUGAGACAUUAGAACGUCGAGAAAAAGACUGCCCCUUUGUAAAGAAGACAAAUUUGGGUGAAAAAAAUUGGUUUUGAGAAGAAAACGCAGGAACCCAAUUCACAGUAAGCUGUGUAGCCAUUGAUAACAUCAUUUUCAACAGCUAAGGGGAAACUCAG